rnacentral:misc_RNA from 1 species
GAUGAAGAACGCAGCGAAAUGCGAUAAGUAAUGUGAAUUGCAGAAUUCAGUGAAUCAUCGAAUCUUUGAACGCACAUUGCGCCCCCUGGUAUUCCGGGGGGCAUGCCUGUCCGAGCGUCAUUGCUGCCCUCAAGCACGGCUUGUGUGUUGGGCCCCCGUCCCCGGUUUCCCCCGGGGACGGGCCCGAAAGGCAGCGGCGGCACCGCGUCCGGUCCUCGAGCGUAUGGGGCUUUGUCACCCGCUCUGUAGGCCCGGCCGGCGCCAGCCGACACCCAACUUUAUUUCUAAGGUUGACCUCGGAUCAGGUAGGGAUACCCGCUGAACUUAAGCAUAUCAAUAAGCGGAGGA